rnacentral:rRNA from 1 species
GCAGGUAGAGGUGGAAUUCGAUGAUCUGCUCAGGAUUAACUGAAGCGAAGGCGUUUCGUCAAGGAUGUUUUCGUUGAUCAAGAACGAAAGUUAGGGGAUCGAAGACGAUUAGACACCGUCGUAGUCCUAACCGUAAACUAUCUCAACUAGGGAUUGGAGCAGGUAGCUACCAUUACGGUAUGCUGUACUGCCUCAGGACCUUUCAGAGAAAUCGUUAAGUUUUUGGAGUCUGGGGGGAAGUAUAAUCGCAAGGUUGAAACUUAAACGGAAUUGACGGAAGAGCACCACAAGAGAUGGAGCUUGUUGCUUAAUUUGACUCAACGCGGGGAAGCUUACCAGGACUGUACUCUGGAAGGAUUGACAGACUAAUGGGUCUUUCAAGAUUCUUAGAAUGGUGGUGCAUGGCCGUUCUUAGUUGGUGAAGUGAUUUGUCUGAGUUAAUUCCGUUAACGAGCGAGACCUUAGCCUGCUAACUAGCGUAGCAGUGAUAUGGGACCUUCGGGUUUCCAUUCACGCAUUGUCGAGUGCUUCUGGCACUGGACAGCGCUUCUUAGAGGGACUGCUAGUGUUGAACUAGAGGAAGCUUGAGGCAAUAACAGGUCUGAGAUGCCCUUGGAUGUCCUGGGCUGCACACGUGCUACAAUGACUGGCCUAGAAAGUUCCAUGCCCGAAAGGGCACUGUUGACUGGGGUGUUAAACCCUGGUCCUGGAAAUCUUUGAACACCAGUCAUGCUUGGGAUAGGCUAUUGUAAUUAUUGGCCUUGAACGAGGAAUUUCUAGUAAUCGCAAGUCAUCAUCUUGCGAUGAGUACGUCCCUGCUCUUUGUACACACCGCCCGUCGCUUAUACCGAUUGGAUGGUCCGGUGAAUGGAUUGGACUCUGUUGUUUCGGCAACUGGGGAAAGACCCGUAAACCUUGUCAUCUAGAGGAAUAAGAAGUCGUAACAAGGUAUCAGUAGGUGAACCUGCAGAAGGAUCA